rnacentral:rRNA from 1 species
CCUACGGGAGGCUGCAGUGGGGAAUAUUGCACAAUGGGCGCAAGCCUGAUGCAGCCAUGCCGCGUGUGUGAAGAAGGCCUUCGGGUUGUAAAGCACUUUCAGCGGGGAGGAAGGCGUUAAGGUUAAUAACCUUGGCGAUUGACGUUACCCGCAGAAGAAGCACCGGCUAACUCCGUGCCAGCAGCCGCGGUAAUACGGAGGGUGCAAGCGUUAAUCGGAAUUACUGGGCGUAAAGCGCACGCAGGCGGUCUGUCAAGUCGGAUGUGAAAUCCCCGGGCUCAACCUGGGAACUGCAUUCGAAACUGGCAGGCUAGAGUCUUGUAGAGGGGGGUAGAAUUCCAGGUGUAGCGGUGAGAUGCGUAGAGAUCUGGAGGAAUACCGGUAGCGAAGGCGGCCCCCUGGACAAAGACUGACGCUCAGGUGCGAAAGCGUGGGGAGCAAACAGGAUUAGAUACCCGAGUAGUC